rnacentral:rRNA from 1 species
AUUGAACGCUGGCGGCAUGCUUUACACAUGCAAGUCGAACGGUAACAGGCCGCAAGGUGCUGACGAGUGGCGAACGGGUGAGUAAUGCAUCGGAACGUGCCCAGUCGUGGGGGAUAACGCAGCGAAAGCUGCGCUAAUACCGCAUACGAUCUAUGGAUGAAAGCGGGGGACCGAAAGGCCUCGCGCGAUUGGAGCGGCCGAUGUCAGAUUAGGUAGUUGGUGGGGUAAAGGCCCACCAAGCCAACGAUCUGUAGCUGGUCUGAGAGGACGACCAGCCACACUGGGACUGAGACACGGCCCAGACUCCUACGGGAGGCAGCAGUGGGGAAUUUUGGACAAUGGGCGCAAGCCUGAUCCAGCAAUGCCGCGUGCAGGAAGAAGGCCUUCGGGUUGUAAACUGCUUUUGUACGGAACGAAACGGUCCGGGUUAAUACCCUGGGCUAAUGACGGUACCGUAAGAAUAAGCACCGGCUAACUACGUGCCAGCAGCCGCAGUAACAC